AUGAAACCACUGGGAUUUUUAUAGUAAAUUCUUUACACACAGAAGAAAGUGCAACACGGGAUGCAGCAGUGCAAUCAUUUCCUAUACUGCUCUUCCCAUGAGCCUCAACCCUGGCAUGGAUGGAGCAUUUCUAAGGAUGAGAUGAUUACAGUCUCCAUGCUAACCCAACUCUUGGCUUUU
ensembl:misc_RNA